rnacentral:rRNA from 1 species
AUUGAACGCUGGCGGCAUGCCUUACACAUGCAAGUCGAACGGCAGCACGGGUGCUUGCACCUGGUGGCGAGUGGCGAACGGGUGAGUAAUACAUCGGAACGUACCUUAUCGUGGGGGAUAACGCAGCGAAAGCUGUGCUAAUACCGCAUACGCCCUGAGGGGGAAAGCGGGGGAUCGCGAGACCUCGCGCGAUUAGAGCGGCCGAUGCCUGAUUAGCUUGUUGGUGGGGUAAAAGCCCACCAAGGCGACGAGCAGUAGCUGGUCUGAGAGGACGAUCAGCCACACUGGGACUGAGACACGGCCCAGACUCCUACGGGAGGCAGCAGUGGGGAAUUUUGGACAAUGGGGGCAACCCUGAUCCAGCAAUGCCGCGUGAGUGAAGAAGGCCUUCGGGUUGUAAAGCUCUUUUGUCAGGGAAGAAACACCGGCUCUAACACAGUCCGGGAAUGACGGUACCUGAAGAAUAAGCACCGGCUAACUACGUGCCAGCAGCCGCCGCGG